rnacentral:tRNA from 1 species
GACAGUUUGGCCGAGUUGGUUAAGGCGAAAGACUCGAAAUCUUUUGGGUUCCGCCCGCGCAGGUUCGAAUCCUGCAGCUGUCG